GAGGCGGGCAACCGGCAUGGCUGAGGAAGGAAAAAAGGGAAAUGUCCAGGAAGGGGAAGCAGGCUACCAGGAAGGUUGUGUAGCCUGGGAAGUGGGGAGGGAUGUGAAAAUAACCAGAAGGAGCUCUUCAGGUACAUAAGCAGAAGGAGACAGAUCAAGGAGAGUGUUCCCCCUCUGAUAAAUGAGGAUGGAGAGCUGGCUUCCUCAGAAGGAAAAAGCUGAGGUACUCACUAAGUGCUUUGCCUCGGUCUUCACUGGUGGUCAGGCUCCUCCCCCUGUUUGCCAGGACCCUGAAGCCCUAGGUGUGGGUGAGAGGAGCAGGUUCCGUCCCCACUGUAACAGUGGAACAAGUCCGAGACCUCCUCUUGAAACUGAAAGUAUAUAGUAAGUCCAUGGGGCUGGAUGAUAUCCAUCCUAGGGUUCAGAGAGAGACGGCUAAUGUCUCUCACUGAGCCGCUCUCCAUCAUAUUUGAAAAAUCACAGCUGUCUGGUGAAGUCUCCAGUGACUGGAAAAAGGGAAACGUUACUCCCAUUUUUAAGAAAGGGAGAAAGGAGGAUCUGUGGAAAUACAGACCGGUGUGCCUCACCUCUGUGCCUGGGAAGAUCAUGGAGCCGAUCCUCCUAGAAGCUAUGUUAAGGCACAUAUGAGACAAAGAGGUGAUUUGAGACAGCCAGCAUGGCUUCAGCAAGGGCAGAUUGUGUCUGACCGAUCAGUGCCUUCUAUGAUGGAGUGACGGCAUCGGUGGACAGGGGAAGGGUGAUGCAUGUCAUCUACCUGGACUUGUGCAAAGCCUUUGACAUGGUCCUUCACCACAUCCUGCUCUCUAAAUUGGAGAGGUGUGGAUUUGAAGGAUGGACUGUUUGGUGGAUUAAGAAUUGGUUGUCGGGUUGCAGCCAAAGGGUUGUGAUCAAUGGGUCUGUGUCAGGGUGGAGGCCAAUCACAAGCGGUGUCCCUCAGGAGUCGGUCUUGGGACCGGUGCUCUUCAACAUCUCCAUCAGUGACAGACGAUGGCAUCGAGUGCACCCUCAGCAAGUUUGCAG
ensembl:lncRNA